rnacentral:rRNA from 1 species
AGGUCAAGCUACAAAGGGCUGACGGGGGAUACCUAGGCACGCAGAGGCGAAGAAGGACGCGGCAACCGGCGAAACGCCUCGGGGAGCUGGAAACAAGCUUAGAGCCGAGGAUGUCCGAAUAGGGAAACCUCUAGUACUGCCCGCUGAAUCCAUAGGCGGGUAAGAGCCAACCGGGCGAACUGAAACAUCUUAGUAGCUCGAGGAAAAGAAAUCAAAAGAGAUUCCCCUAGUAGUGGUGAGCGAAAAGGGAAGAGCCUAAACCAAUUGUUUUAACAGUUGGGGUAGUGGGACAGCCAUAAACCCACCGAAUCUGUUAGACGAAACUGUUGAAUGCAGUACCCUAGAAGGUGAAAGUCCUGUAGUCGAAAAUGGAGAUGGGGGCGGUUGUAUCCCGAGUAGCAUGGGGCACGUGAAAUCCCGUGUGAAUCAGCGAGGACCACCUCGUAAGGCUAAAUACUACUGCGUGACCGAUAGCGAAAAAGUACCGCGAGGGAAAGGUGAAAAGAACCCCGGGAGGGGAGUGAAAUAGAACAUGAAACCGUCAGCCUACAAGCAGUGGAAGGACGAUUAAACGUCUGACCGCGUGCCUGUUGAAGAAUGAGCCGGCGAGUUAUAAGACGUGGCAGGUUAAGACUUUACAGUCGCAGCCAAAGCGAAAGCGAGUCUGAAUAGGGCGCUUUAUUGUCACGGCUUAUAGACCCGAACCCGGGCGAUCUAACCAUGUCCAGGAUGAAGCUUGGGUAAAGCUAAGUGGAGGUCCGAACCGACCGAUGUUGAAAAAUCGGCGGAUGAGGUGUGGUUAGGGGUGAAAUGCCAAUCGAGCCCGGAGCUAGCUGGUUCUCCCCGAAAUGUGUUUAGGCGCAGCGGUCGAAGUAAAACCUAGGGGUAAAGCACUAUUUCGGUGCGGGCUGCGAGAGCGGUACCAAAUCGAGAUAAACUCAGAAUACUAGGAGUAAAUCGGCCAGUGAGACGGUGGGGGAUAAGCUUCAUCGUCAAGAGGGAAACAGCCCAGACCACCAGCUAAGGUCCCCAAAGAUUUGCUAAGUGAUAAAGGAGGUGGGGGUGCUUUGACAACCAGGAGGUUUGCCUAGAAGCAGCAAUCCUUGAAAGAGUGCGUAAUAGCUCACUGGUCAAGCGCUCCUGCGCCGAAAAUGAACGGGGCUAAGCAAUCUACCGAAGCUGUGGGCUUGUGUUUAUCACAAGCGGUAGGGGAGCGUUCCGCAUGGGGCGAAGCACUAGCGGCAAGCAGGUGUGGACUGUGCGGAAGUGAGAAUGUCGGCUUAAGUAGCGAAAACAUUGGUGAGAAUCCAAUGCCCCGAAACCCUAAGGAUUCCUCCGGAAGGCUCGUCCGCGGAGGGUAAGUCAGGACCUAAGGCGAGGCCAAAGGCGUAGUCGAUGGACAACGGGUUAAGAUUCCCGUACCGUUAAUUGUUGACCAAGAGGGACGGAGAAGGCUGACGCCAUCCGGUUAAUGGUAUGCCGGUGCAAGUAUUCGAGGUGAUGAGGAACGGUGAAAACGAUCCGAGCUAAGAUGCGAGUCCGACCCGUUACGACGGGGAAGUGGUAGGAGUCAUGCUUCCAAGAAAAGCUCUGACGGUCAUAAACAAUUAAUGCCUGUACCAGAAACCGACACAGGUGGGGUGGUAGAGAAUACCGAGGGGCGCGAGAUAACUCUCUCUAAGGAACUCGGCAAAAUGGCCCCGUAACUUUGGAAGAAGGGGUGCCCUCUGAAAGGAGGGUCGCAGUGAAGAGGCCCAGGCGACUGUUUACCAAAAACAUAGGUCUCCGCAAAGUCGUAAGACGCAGUAUGGGGGCUGACGCCUGCCCAGUGCCGGAAGGUUAAGGAAGUCGGUCAGGAAGCAAUUCUGAAGCUGACGACUGAAGCCCCGGUGAACGGCGGCCGUAACUAUAACGGUCCUAAGGUAGCGAAAUUCCUUGUCGGGUAAGUUCCGACCCGCACGAAAGGCGUAACGAUCUGGGCGCUGUCUCGGAGAGAGGCUCGGCGAAAUAGGAACGUCUGUGAAGAUACGGACUACCUGCACCUGGACAGAAAGACCCUAUGAAGCUUUACUGUAACUUGGAAUUGGGUUCGGGCUUGGUCUGCGCAGGAUAGGUGGGAGGCGUUGAAGGUUUCCUUGUGGGGAAACUGGAGCCACCGGUGAGAUACCACUCUGGCGAAGCUAGAAUUCUAACCUCCGCCCAUUAUCUGGGGGAGGGAAAGUUUCAGGCGGGCAGUUUGACUGGGGCGGUCGCCUCCAAAAAGGUAACGGAGGCGCGCAAAGGUUCCCUCAGGCUGGUUGGAAAUCAGCCGGAGAGUGUAAAGGCACAAGGGAGCUUGACUGCGAGACCAACAAGUCGAGCAGAGACGAAAGUCGGCCUUAGCGAUCCGACGGUUCCGCGUGGAAGGGCCGUCGCUCUACGGAUAAAAGUUACUCUAGGGAUAACAGGCUGAUCUCCCCCAAGAGUCCACAUCGACGGGGAGGUUUGGCACCUCGAUGUCGGCUCAUCGCAACCUGGGGCGGAAGUACGUCCCAAGGGUUCGGCUGUUCGCCGAUUAAAGCGGUACGUGAGCUGGGUUCAGAACGUCGUGAGACAGUUCGGUCCAUAUCCGGUGCAGGCGCAAGAGCAUUGAGAGGAGUCCUCCUUAGUACGAGAGGACCGGGAGGAACGCACCGCUGGUGUACCUGUUAUCGUGCCAACGGUAAACGCAGGGUAGCCAUGUGCGGAGCGGAUAACCGCUGAAAGCAUCUAAGUGGGAAGCCCACCUCAAGAUGAGUGCUCUCAUGGAGUUAAUCCAGUAAGGUCACGGAAAGAACAUCCGUUGAUAGGCGUUAGGUGGAAGUGCAGCAAUGUAUGAAGCCGAGACGUACUAAUAGACCGAGGGCUUGACCUAA